rnacentral:ncRNA from 1 species
UUUUAUUUAUUAUUUUUUAUUUUUUUCUUUUACAAAGUUUUAUUUAAGCUUAAAAUUUUGGUUUAUUUUUAUUUUAUAUGUAAAUUUUAUUUAUUAAAAAUUUAAUUUCAGUUUUAAGUAUUAGAAAAUUAUUUAAGUAAGUUCUAGUAAUUGAUAAAAGAUUUAAUAAAAUUUGUGCCAGCAAUUGCGGUUAUACAAAUGAUUCAAUUAAAAUGUAUUGGUUAGUAGUUAAUUUUUUUUAUAAUAAAUUUAUUGUUAAAAUUUUUAAGUGAAAUUUAAAUUUUAAUAUAGGUUUUUUAUUUUUAUAUGAAGUUACUAAAAUUAAUAUUAAACUAGGAUUAGAUACCCUAUUAUUAUAAUAGUAAAUUUAAAUACCAAAUUAGUAUUAGUUAUUUUCUUAAAAAUUAAAAAAUUUGGCGGUAUUUUAGUCUAUUCAGAGGAACCUGUCCUGUAAUUGAUAAUCCACGAUUAGAUAAACUUUUUUUAAUUUCUUGUAUAUCGUUGUUUUUGAAUAUUUUAUAAGAAUUUAAAUUUUCAAUAAGUAUAUAAUAGUUUAUUUCAGAUCAAGGUGCAGUUUAUAAGGAAGAAGAGAUGGGUUACAUUAAAAUUAUUUUUGGUUUAUCAUUUUAAAUAAUGUUAUUAAAAUGGAUUUGAUAGUAAUAUUUUAAAUAUUUGAUAUAUGAUUUUAGCUCUAAAAUGUGUACAUAUUGCCCGUCGCUCUCAUAAUUUUGAGAUAAGUCGUAACAAAGUAGAUUUACUGGAAAGUGAAUCUAGAAUUAA